rnacentral:pre_miRNA from 1 species
CUUGGGGGGUGUCCCUCAGCCUGGAUUGCAAGAGGGCACAGGCCAGGCUGAGGGAUCCUACCUGUGCACG